rfam:Triticum aestivum genome assembly, contig: Triticum_aestivum_CS42_TGACv1_scaffold_328514_4BS
UACAUACUCCCUCCGUUCGGAAAUACUUGUCGAAGAAAUGCAUAAAAAUGGAUGUAUCUAGAAUUAAAAUACGUCUAGAUACAUCAAUUCCUCCAACAAGUAUUUCUGGACGGAGGGAGUACCAC